AAGAAAAAGUUUUGGAAAAGCAGAAAUGACACAUUAACUGACUACUGGAACUCCCUUGGUCAGAAAGCAGAAGUCUGCCGUCCAUUCCAGUCAAGGGAGUCACAAGGACGGCGGAUUUUAGCCCAACUAUUACAAUAUGAUACAAAUCAGACUUAUGCUAACCGUGUAUAUAUAUUGUUUUUCUGCAAUUUUUCUCAUAAUGGACUACAGCUGAUUGAUCAUGGGCGAAGGGAAAAGUCUAACCCAGAAUUUGUACAAGGAUUUCAGGAAAAGAGAUUUCCAUCAAGUGUGUGGACAAUGCUGCUGGAUUACCUGGUGUAGUCGUCUAUGGUACACAAACAUUCCCCAUUUCAUCUCAAAAAGGGAGUGUAGAUGAGGAGGCCAUGGAAUGGGAGCCAUCAGAGGUGAAGCCACACCCAAAGGCCAGUGUUCAGGAGGAAGAGGAGGAGGAUGGAGCGGAUGACUGUUGGCAUCUACAGCUAUCAGACAUUUACAUAAUAAAUCUGUAAAGCCAAAAGAAAAACAUGUCAUGUUCUGGCUGUCAAUAAGAAAUGUGGCUUGCUUAACCAAA